AAUAAAUAUAAAUUUAGUGUAAUUUUAACAAAAUAAUAUAAAUUAGGAAAGAAUAGUGUCACAUAUCUUUUUCAAGCUUUGAGUAGUUUUGUGGUAUUUUUUAUACAACUUGAACUUCAAUAUUCAAAUGAAUUUAAGUAAUCAAUCGAUAGAUAUACUUGGUUCUACCAUCAAAAAGAACGACGGGACUCCACGGGUGGUGGAUCGGGAUCCUCGAUCCUAUGUAUCUGUAUAUCAAUAUGAUAUGUUUGUCGGACUCAAUUUUGAAAUUGAUCUCACGAUAUGGUGUACUGAUACACCGUAUGCCAUUGGUGCAUCAAUGUGGUGAUGGUCGUAGUCUGAUCGUCGUGAACCACAUGUGUCCGAGGCGGCUCUUGAGGCAAGGAUAAAUGUGGCAUGUGUUAGUGUGGAGCAUAGAGAAUGCCAGAAUUUCUACUUUCGCUAUUGAUUUGUUACUUCGUAUCGUAAAAUCGAUUAUCGUACUGUUGUUCGAAGAAGUAUGGCCAACUGUCACCGUACUGUUGUUGGCCGUAAGAUUCUCCAUAAUAUGACGGUUGUGAAUACGAUUAUUCAAUCCACAAAUUAGAGUGUUCUUCCUCUAGAAAGAGAACACAUACCUCUUGAUUAGAGUGUUCUUCCUCUUAAUCCUCAUAAAUUAGCUUCCUAAAUUUGAUCCAAUCCACAAAUUGUAGCUUUGUUGAAUUUAAGAGAAUGAAAAUGUGAAAAUAAGAGAGAUGUGAGUGAAAAAGAGUUUAAGAGAGUGAAAUAAGUUGAAAUUGGAGAGAGAAAAGGAUUUAAAAACCCAUUUCUAAGUCUCAAACGAUUAAAUUAACCAUUUAAAAUAGGGCAAUUUCAGCCCUUGACUGGUAACGAUCAAAUUUUGAUUGUUACCACCCGGUAUAGGUCAGUAAUGAUCAAAAUCCAAGCAUAUUGAUCGGUACAUGUCGGUAACGUUCGGAUUUCGAUCGUUACCGCCUAGUACAGACCCCGUAUUGCCUGAUACGGGGUCAAGUGACCGAUACUGCUCGGUAGAUGGCGGUCCACGUAUCGGUACCCUAUCGGACUAGUAUGUAUCACCUGUACCGAGCGGUAUGUAUCAGUACAACAAACCUUGCUUUUGACCAAGAUUCACAAUACAUUUAGUACUGUUUGGUGCAUAUGAUAUUCAUCAGUCUGAUAGGUUAACCAAGGCAAACUGGUCAUUAUGUCCAUACUAGACUUAUAUCGGGCGAUACUAUCUGGUACGCUUGUUAUAGAGUCAGUUCCACCUGGUAUGGGGUGUAUAGGCUCUGUACUGGAUGCUUAUUUUUUUCAACUUUAAAAACUUUUUUUUUUUGAAACUCAGAACUGGUACAGUACACUGGUAUGGACAGAUACAGUACUGGUUCGAGACGUGAUUGGUACAUUACCGACACACGAAAAUAUGACCUUGAUUUUGACAGAAUUGCUCUGCUGUUAAAUUGUUAGUUGUUGUUGUGAAUGUUCAACAACUUUUCUACCUUUUGUUUGCCUAAUUUUUUUGUAGAUUUAUUUUUAUAUGUGAUUUUACAGAAAAUCAUUUGAUGAUUCUUCAAAUCACAUUGCCUUUGCCAUAAAUAUGAUUUUUAUUAAUGCUUGUUUUGCUAAUUAAGUGACCUACAAAAACGCUGCAACUUUCAAGCCUUUGGCUACAGUUACCGUACCAACUUGUUUCCUUUAGCUGCUUAAUUUGAGUUCUUAAUUAUAUCACUGACCUUUGCUUGCUUUCUACUGAUACAAUUUCAGACAAGGGUUGCUAUUUUUCCCUGGGAGUCAUAAGGGACACAUCUACGGCAAAGAUAAAGUUGAAGAAGUUGUAGACAGAACACCUGCUUUGAAGGUAUAUUGUUAUGAUGAGUAUUCUUUCUUGAAGGCAUAGUCAACUAUUAAUGAGUCUUAUACUGGUGGAACUGUAGAAAAUUAAACCACCAUGGAUGGGCCCCUAGAAAAUAUCAAAACAGUGGAUGCAUCUGUUGGGAGCACCAAGGCCAUAAAUAUAUCACUAGAAGGAAGUGUGGCUGUGGCUGCUGAUGUGUCUGGAGAAGGUACCAAUGAAAUGGAUGGAUCAAUGAGAAAAGCCACUAUGACUAGUGGACCAGUAGAAAAUGACAAUGGCCUUGUUGGAGCAGUGGAAAUUUCCAGUAACAUCGAUAGUUCAGUGGGAAAUGUUGAUGACAGAGAUGCAUCAGGAAGUAUAACUUGUUUGGAUGGAUCUUUAAAUACUGGCAAUGUGGAUGAAUUAGUGACUGUUGCUCCCGAGGCAACUGAAAAUUUACAGUUAGAACCUAAGGUUGGUAUGGUUUUUCAUUCGGAAGAGGAAGCAUAUGAAUUCUAUAAUUCAUAUGCCAAGAAAAAGGGAUUCAGUGUGCGCAAGGGGCAUCUUUCCCGAAGAAGAGAUAAUAGCAUACGAGAUAGGCACUAUGUCUGUAGCAAUGAAGGUACUCGUCAAGAGCAUCGCACUCAUGUGACUAAGAAACCACGUCCACUGGAGAGAACAAAAUGUUUGGCUCGUAUUGAGUUCAAAGUGAAUCGUAGCAAUGUAUGGGUAGUAAAUAAGCUCAUUGAAGAGCACAAUCAUCUGCUUGCAAGCCCAAAUAAGAUUCACAUGUUGCGGUCACAUAGAAAGAAAUUGCCUGUUGAACGUGCAAUCUUUACUGAAGCAGAUUACUAUUAUGGGGUAAAACCUUCUCUGAUGUAUGAUUCUCAGUCAGAGGAGGUACAGAGUAUGGGAGAUGGAGAAUUGCUUGUGAAGAACCAAAACAGCUGUUUGAGUGCUACAAGGCUGCGGGAUCUUGAAAAGGGAGAUGCACAGUUCCUUUUAGAUAUUCUGAAAAAUAAACAGUCUGAAGAUCCGUCAUUUUUUUAUGCUGUACAAAUAGAUGAAAAGGAACGCAUGACCAACUUCUUUUGGGCGGAUGCACGGUCAAUAAAUGAUUAUGCCUACUUUGGUGAUUCAGUCUUGUUUGACACAACCUAUCGAACGAGCAGGUUUGACAUACCAUUUGCACCAUUUAUUGGCGUAAAUCAUCAUAAGCAAAUUGUUAUAUUUGGUGCUGCAUUGCUGUUGGAUGAAUCUAUAGAAUCAUUCAUUUGGUUAUUUAGAACUUUUAUGGCUGCUAUGUCUGGUAGACAGCCAAAGACAAUCUUUACAGAUCGCUGUGCUGAAAUGUCAAAAGCGAUUACUAUGACUUUUCCUGAUACAUGCCAUCGACUUUGUUUAUGGCACAUACUUCAAAAUGUUCCAAAGCAUUUUCAUGGUGUGUCCAACCGUGAAUCCAACUUCCAAAAAGAUUUUGAGGAUUGCAUAUUUGGAAGUAGUUCUGAAGAAAUUUUAUGUAAAUUAUGGGAUAGCUUGAUUUCUAAACAUUGUCUUGGAAAUAGUGCAUGGUUGAAGGACCUAUAUGCAGCCACAGAAAAAUGGGCUCUUGCUUACCUUAAUUCAUUUUGUGCUACCAUGACAACAAAACAAUGGGCUGAAGGCAUGGACAAUCUCUUCAAGAUUCAUUUCUACAGGAAACUGCCUCUGCCCAAAUUUAUUGCACAAUAUUUCAAGGCAUUAGUUCAACUACGUGAAAAGGAACUUUUUGAAGAUUAUGAAUCUAGGCAAACUAAACCUGUUUUGUUGGUUGAUAUACCUGUUCUAGCUGAAGCAGCAGAAUCAUAUACAAGGACAAUAUAUGUGGAUUUUGAAUACGAGUACAAGAGCCAACUUGCUUGCCUAUGUGAAACUAUUGCUAUGGAUGGGACAGUUUAUACUUUUAGAGUUUCUAUUCCUCAAAAAUGCACUGGGCUUGUUGAGUUUAAUCCAUCCAAUAUUACAAUUAAAUGUAGCUGUAAAAAAUUUGAAUCAAUGGGCAUCUUGUGUAUGCAUGCAUUAAAAGUUCUUAACAAUAAUAACAUUCUCUAUCUCCCUCCUCAGUACAUUUUGAAGAGAUGGACAAAGUAUGCAAAAGAUGGGACAUUAUACUGUGGACCUCAUUUGGCAGCUGAUUCCAGUGCCCAAGAGUCAUUGAUCUCACGAUACAGUCGCAUUUGUCAUAAAGCAGUAUCUGUUGCGGUAAAAAGUGCACUGUCAAAAGAAUCCCUUGAAAUUCUUGAACAUGGGCUUGACCGAUUCAUUGCUGAAAUGGAGAAUAUGUUUCAUGGUGCUCCUUGGACCAAACAAACACAAGAUGUGAAUGUCGAUGAUGCUAUGCAGCAUAAUACAUUAGAAACAAGUGGGAUUUGUUUCGAUGGUUUUGAGUUUGCUGCAAGAUGAGCUUAGAUUGUUGUAUGCCUUUUUCAAGUGCCUGUUGAAGUACUCUUCACAUGGUCUCACAUGCAGUGCAACUAGAGUAUGCGACUCCCCUCAGAAUCAGUUUAAGAAAAAUGUUGACCAUGGAUUUGUGUUGGAUGCAUGCAUUUGUGUUGGAUGUGUUGCUUCCAGGAGCUAAGGGAGCUGUUCUUCAGUUUUUCUUUUACAGUUUUUUGGAUGGGUUCUGUAGCACCCUUUGAAGAAAUUCUCUCUCGUAUAUGUAUCCUGCUCAAGAUGAUUGGGGUAUGCUCUGCACAAAUACUUGAGUGAGUGUGGCUUUUAUAAGCAGCACAUCUGCAGACAUGCUUUCUGUUUGACUUCAAUGCUUGACCAUUAAUGGUUAAAUCUUUUUUUUUUCCCUUCAAGGAAGAGUGGAACAUUGCUGUUGCAGAUAUGCAAAAACAUGUAGCAAAUAUUGUGAGUUCAAGAAGUUGUCUUAUAUGUGGGUUGCUAUUGGAGGAAGCAGUCAGCAGUUUACGAUUCUUUCCAUCUAUUCAACUUGAUUCAUGUCCGUCAUGGUCCAUCCAAAGGUGCCAUUCCUCGUCAACUUUCAUCUGAAGUGUCAUAGUUUUGUCUUCAAUGGUUGUAUCUGUGCUCUAGUGGGUUAAUAUUACUUGCAGUACUCCCAUGUAGCUUCUGGUCUGUCAAGCUCUGCAGCAUUUGUCUGGACAGCAACAAUUGGCAUCAUGGCUGUUCUUGGUAAGAACUUUCAAAGGUAAAACAAGUGUGUGCUUAUGUAAUUAGAAGAAUUGUUGACUGCUGUUUAUUAGCCAUCCUCACAUCUUAUGCAUGAUCAAUAAAUUCAAUUGGAUUUGAUUGUCAAAUUA